GACGAACGCUGGCGGCGUGCUUAACACAUGCAAGUCGAGCGGUAAGGCCCUUUCGGGGGUACACGAGCGGCGAACGGGUGAGUAACACGUGGGUGACCUGCCCUCAGCUCUGGGGUAAGCCUGGGAAACCGGGUCUAAUACCGGAUAUGACUUCCAUGACGCAUGUUGUGGGGUGGAAAGCCUUGUGCGGCUGAGGAUGGGCCCGNGGCCUAUCAGCUUGUUGGUGGGGUGANGGCCUACCAAGGCGACGACGGGUAGCCGGCCUGAGAGGCGACCGGCCACACUGGGACUGAGACACGGCCCAGACUCCGUACGGGAGGCAGCAGUGGGGAAUCUUGCGCAAUGGGCGAAAGCCUGACGCAGCGACGCCGCGUGAGGAUGACGG
rnacentral:rRNA from 1 species